UAUUUCGCCCUAUAAAUAGCGCAAAGGUUGGCAGGUUGCGUAAUCUUCUGACGUUUGAUCCUUUCCGUCUCCUUCCGGUGUUGUGACCCUGAAGCGCUAUAGCGAGAGAGAUAACCCCCUGAUGCAAGAGUGUGAGCGCGUGGACUGUGUGUAAUAUUAUGCAAGUCGCGGACGCCGUGUUUCGUCUAUAGCAACGAGCCGUAUCACGCAGGGUUUUUAUUCCACUCUAGUAUGCAGUGUUUCUAGUCCACUUUCGGGAUUACGGCAGAGAUCUUCCUCUGUGGAGUUCUAUGCAUAUGGACAUCUGAUGUCUAGGCCCUGCUGUUUUGUUUGAUUUAUUUUUUAUAUAAGUUUUAAGCUGAUGGUCAUAUGCUGAUGUUUGUUUUGAAGUUAUUUUUUUAUCUGUUAUUAUUGAUUUUGUCAGCUGGGUCCUGUUUGUACCAACCGCUAGGGGUCUAUAUGAUGUGUGGAGAAGAGGGGAGUUUUUAACCCAUUUUUCUGUAUUCUAGGAGCCAGCCUGCGUGAGAGCACUUUCCUCUGGGGUCAUCUGGGUCCUUCCUCUACUGCAUGUGGCGUGAGGUUAUUCUGCACUGCAUGGGUAUUGAUUUGAGAGUGUAGAGUUAUUUGUAUUAUUCACUACACCUUUUUACAUUUGUUGGUUGGUGCACGUUAGUGCACGUGAGGUGUGUGUGCUCUUGAGGUUGUGGGUCUUUGGCCCAGUGACUUUUUUUCUUCCCGCAGGCUUGGUUGAUCUUGUAUACAGGAAUUGUGGGUUACAAUUUUUAAUAUUUGACUUGGGAGUCUAGACAUCUUAAAAUUGAGUUUCUCUCUUUUUUUAGAUGGUUAUAAAUGUGAAGUUGAUCGCUUACUCAGAGCUUUUAGUACUGACUGCUAAUAAAGGUGUUGUCCGUGAAGGUCACGUCUCUGUUCUUCAUUCACUAGCUAUAGAACUUGUUUUGCUGUGUUUAAUUAUUUCCGUGGGUAUCUAACCCCGGUGGCGUAGUCGGAAUCAAGUUGAUCAUUGGUUAUCGCCUGGUUACACGUAUUUUAUAUUAUUGAUCAAUAUAUGAAUCCGUUGACCAGGCUACACAUGACACGAGUUCUGGUCUCACUGGCACAAAUUAAUUUAGAUGAGAUUAUAAUCAGAUUAGUUAAAACUCUAUUGAUCCUAGAUUGAUUCCACUCUUGUAUGUCAAGACUUCCAAAGCUUUGUUUGGUCACGUGAUUUUGCAAACGGUAUAUCCUCUGCUCCGCUUUGAUUUGUUAGAUAUGGUGGAGGAAACAAGUCUGACCACCAGAUGUCGCUAAUGCGCAUUGUGUUAAAAGC